rnacentral:lncRNA from 1 species
ACCUUCUACCCACUUUUUUCCACAUUUCUUCCACCUUUUAUCCCUUCUUUCACCUUUUACCCACUCUUUUCCACCUUUUACCUACUUUUUUACACAUUUCCUCCACCUUUUAUCCCCUUUUUCCACCUUUUAUCCACCUUUUAUCCACCUUUUAUUCCACUUUUUUCCACCCUUUGUUCACCUUCUAUCCACUUUUUCCCAACUUUUACCCACUUUUUAUCCACUUUUCCCACCUUAUAUCCAAUUUUUCCAAUUUUCCUAACUUUUAUCCACUUUUUUCCACCCUUUGUCCACUCUUUAUCCAGUUUUCCUACCCUUUAUCCACUUUUUUCCACCUUUUAUCCACUUUCCCCACCUUUCAACCACUUUUUUCCACCCUUUGUCAACGUUUUAUCCACUUUUCCCACCCUUUAUCCACGUUUUAUCCACUUUUUUCCAACCUUUAACCACCUUUUAUCUGCUUUUUCCACCCUUUAUCCACUUUUUUCCACCCUUUAUCCACUUUUUAUCCACUUUUUCCACCCUUUGUCCACUUUUUUCCACCUUUUGUCCACUUUUUCCAACCUGUUAUCCCCUUUUUAUCCACUUUUUCCACCCUUUGUCUGCUUUUCCCCACCUUUUAUCCACUUUUCCCACCCUUUAUCCACCUUUUAUCUGCUUUUCCGACUUUUUAUCCACUUUCUUCCACCCUUUAUCCACUUUUUUCUACCUUUUAUCCCCUUUUUAUCCACUUUCCCCACCCUCUAUCCACUUUCCCCAUCUUUCAACCACUUUUUUCCACCCUUUGUCCACUUUUUAUCCACUUUUCCCAUCCUUUAUCCACUUUUCCCACCCUUUAUCCACUUUUUUCCACCCUUUGUCCACCUUUUAUCCACUUUCCCCACCCUUUGUCCACCUUUUAUCCACUUUCCCCACCCUUUGUCCACCUUUUAUCCACUUUCCCCACCCUUUAUCCACUUUUUUCCACCCUUUAUCCACUUUUCCCACCCUUUAUCCACUUUUUUCCACCCUUUAUCCACUUUUCCCACCCUUUAUCCACUUUUUUCCACCUUUUACCCCCUUUUUAUCCACUUUUUCCAUCCUUUAUCCACCUUUUUCCACCCUUUAUCCACCUUUUUAUCCACUUUGUCCACCCUUUGUCCACUUUUGAUCCACCUUCCCCACCCUUCCUCCACUUCCCUUCCCUCUUCAUCCUUUUUAUUAUUACUACUUUCAUUUUUUUUUUAUUUUUUUUCCAACUCCCCCUCCCUCCUCCCUUUCCCNNNNNNNN